rnacentral:lncRNA from 1 species
GUAAUUUAAAGUAUGGUAAUUUAGUGUCUUAUGAUUUUUUUUCAUCUGUCUCUCUAUUAAUUUUUUAUUAAAUCAUAUAAAAAAAAUUUCAGAUAUCCCAUUUAUGAUUUAUUGAAUAUUCACUCUAGUACUAUUUAAUCUUAAUUUUGUCACUGAUUUAACAAAAAAAGUUAGUGAAAGGAAUAAUAAAAAGAAAAAAAAAAAACCACAAGAUACAAAAUUGACACAUUUUAAACCGCAGAAUGCUAAAGUAAAAAAAUACCAAAUUAUAGGGAUGAUAUUUAAAGUUUUUCCUUUUUUCUUCUUUAGUAUUUUUCUUGGUUAAUUUUAUCCCGAAGUGGGGGUAUGCUUUACAUCCAUUCCAUUUAAGGGUGGGAUUCACUUCAAACAAAUCACAUCAUGUGACUAGUAGAUGAUUCGCCGUUCAAGGAUAGGUGAGAAGUAUGGUGUACACCUAUUUUUGGGUGUACUUAUAGCUUUUUUCAUUUUUCUGUAAAAUGAUAAAUAUAUUUUUAUAAAAUUUAAUUUUUUAUAUUUAUUUUUAUAAAAUUUCAAUAAUAUUUAUAUUUGUCCCUCUAAUUUGCUACCGUUGAGAACAGAAGAUAUGAAAUAAUAUUUUUGCCAUCACAAAUAUAUCCCUCCAAAAAUUUCAACGGCUACAAUUAUAUAAAAAUGUCCUCCCAAAAAUUUUCAAUGGUCAUCUUCUUUCUUUCUACCAUCACAAAUAAUAUAAUAAAGAUAAAAAUGUUAAUUUACCUAAUUCACUAAUCAGUCUUAAGUAUUUAUCUAUAAUUAACUAUAUUUUCCUAACGAAUCCGCAACAAAUGUAUAUUUGAAAACGGUAGGACUUUUGUAGAAAUAAGUAUGAAAAGUUAAACUUUGUAUGAAUAUAUCUGCUAUUCGAUAUAUUUACAGAGAGCUGUAUGUAAUUAACCCUUCUUUUGGUCAAUAAUUAAUUUCCAAAGUAAAAUUAAUUUUUAGUUGAAUUAAAUUUAAAUUUAAGUUUUUUUUCGGGUCAAUUAUACCAUUAGUCCACAAGUUUUGUAUCAUUUUUCACUUGGGUCCCCAAUCUUCCUUAUUACAAUGGAGUCCUUAAUUUCUUGCUUUUAUUACAACCACGUCCUAGCGGUUAAAAAAGAUGUUAAAAUUAAUAAAAUUGUCACGUCAGUGUCUACUUGGCUUUCUUUUACAUGUCAAUUUUUGUUCCUAAAUUUUGCACGUUUUUCACUUUAGUCCAAAAAUUAAAAAUUUUAAAUUUAAAUUCGAGAUUAAUAUUAAAACUAAAAUUUUAAACUAACUAGAUAUAA